rnacentral:rRNA from 1 species
GACGAACGCUGGCGGCGUGCCUAAUACAUGCAAGUAGAACGCACAGUUUAUACCGUAGCUUGCUACACCAUAAACUGUGAGUUGCGAACGGGUGAGUAACGCGUAGGUAACCUGCCUGGUAGCGGGGGAUAACUAUUGGAAACGAUAGCUAAUACCGCAUAAUAUUGAUUAUUGCAUGAUAAUUGAUUGAAAGAUGCUAUUGCAUCACUACCAGAUGGACCUGCGUUGUAUUAGCUAGUAGGUGAGGUAACGGCUCACCUAGGCGACGGUACAUAGCCGACCUGAGAGGGUUGACGGCCACACUGGGACUGAGACACGGCCCAGACUCCUACGGGAGGCAGCAGUAGGGAAUCUUCGGCAAUGGACGAAAGUCUGACCGAGCAACGCCGCGUGAGUGAAGAAGGUUUUCGGAUCGUAAAGCUCUGUUGUAAGAGAAGGACGGGUGUGAGAGUGGAAAGUUCACACUGUGACGGUAUCUUACCAGAAAGGGACGGCUAACUACGUG